AUUGAACGCUGGCGGCAGGCUUAACACAUGCAAGUCGAGCGGAGUGAUGGUGCUUGCACUAUCACUUAGCGGCGGACGGGUGAGUAAUGCUUAGGAAUCUGCCUAUUAGUGGGGGACAACAUCUCGAAAGGGAUGCUAAUACCGCAUACGUCCUACGGGAGAAAGCAGGGGAUCACUUGUGACCUUGCGCUUAUAGAUGAGCCUAAGUCGGAUUAGCUAGUUGGUGGGGUAAAGGCCUACCAAGGCGACGAUCUGUAGCGGGUCUGAGAGGAUGAUCCGCCACACUGGGACUGAGACACGGCCCAGACUCCUACGGGAGGCAGCAGUGGGGAAUAUUGGACAAUGGGGGGAACCCUGAUCCAGCCAUGCCGCGUGUGUGAAGAAGGCCUUAUGGUUGUAAAGCACUUUAAGCGAGGAGGAGGCUCUUUUGGUUAAUACCCAAGAUGAGUGGACGUUACUCGCAGAAUAAGCACCGGCUAACUCUGUGCCAGCAGCCGCCGCGG
rnacentral:rRNA from 1 species